AUGCCCACGCAGCAAGGAGACACCGUGAUCAAAGAAGAGGCGGUUCACCCAGGCGAGGCUGGCCAUUGCACUCCGCCUGUGCUGACCCCCUCUGCAAUUUCUCAAAUGUGGAAAUCUCGAUUGCAUAAUUUAUGGUAGUGGGGGACUGCGUUCGCGCUCUCCCCUG